rnacentral:rRNA from 1 species
GAUGAACGCUAGCUACAGGCUUAACACAUGCAAGUCGCGGGGCAGCAUGGGGGUUGCUUGCAAUCCCCGAUGGCGACCGGCGCACGGGUGAGUAACGCGUAUCCAACCUGCCCUUCACCACGGGAUAACCCGGCGAAAGUCGGACUAAUACCGUAUGUUGUCCAUUGACGGCAUCCGAUUUGGACGAAAGGCUUGGCGGUGAGGGAUGGGGAUGCGUCCGAUUAGCCAGACGGCGGGGUAACGGCCCACCGUGGCUACGAUCGGUAGGGGUUCUGAGAGGAAGGUCCCCCACACUGGAACUGAGACACGGUCCAGAAUCCUACGGGAGGCAGCAGUGAGGAAUAUUGGUCAAUGGGCGUAAGCCUGAACCAGCCAAGUAGCGUGCAGGAUGACGGCCCUAUGGGUUGUAAACUGCUUUUAUGCGGGGAUAAAGUGGCCCACGUGUGGGCUUUUGCAGGUACCGCAUGAAUAAGGACCGGCUAAUUCCGUG